ensembl:lncRNA
UUUCAGUUUCAGAAACUAUUCCCAUGUACCUUUGUAGUGAUGCCUGUUAAGGUUCAUAUAUUAAUCUACUCACCCAAUCAUUUUACACCCUGUCUGGUAAUGUGGAGAUCUAGCUUUUAAUGAAGGGGGAUUAGCUCAGAUGGUAGAGCGCUCGCUUAGCAUGCGAGAGGUAGCGGGAUCGAUGCCCGCAUCCUCCAAAUGCUGCUCUGUUUUCAGUUUCAGAAACUAUUCCCAUGUACCUUUGUAGUGAUGCCUGUUAAGGUUCAUAUAUUAAUCAACUCAUCCAAUCAUUUUACACCCUGUCUGGUAAUGCGGCGAUCUCAGCUUUAAAGAAGGGGGAUUAGCUCAGAAGGUAGAGCGCUUGCUUAGCAUGCGAGAGGUAGCGGGAUCGAUGCCUGCAUCCUCCAAAUGCUGCUCUGUUUUCAGUUUCAGAAACUCUCCCUCAGUACCUUUGUAGGGAUGCCUGUAAAGGUUCAUCCAUUUAUCUACUCAGGCAUUCAUCUUAC